UAAAAAAUGUUGUAAAAGACUACCUAUUACCGGAAUCUGGUCGUUGACUUUUUCCGCCGGCAUUGACUAAGUCAUGUGAGUAGCACGUGCCCUUUAAUGACCCUUUUCCCACCCAUUUUCCCCCAAAUUUCACGAAUUCCUCCUAUUCAGCCCCUUUUUGUAACCCUAGAACCCUAAUUUCUCGAUUUCUUCUCCAAUUCAGCCCCAAUCUGUUGAAUUUCCUUACAAUUAUUGUGUGAUGGCUUUUCCUUCCAUAGACUAGUGCAAUUGUAGUUUGAAUUUAGGGAAUUUUGAAGUUUGUGAGAGGAAUUUACAAUAAUUAAUUUUUGAAUUUGAUUGUUGUUAGUGUACCGUGGUUGGGAUGGUGGUUAGUAUGGCUGCUACUUGCAGCUUAAUGGUGUGAAUUGGUGUUACUGUUGGUGGCGUUAAGAGGUAGAGAUAGAGGGUGGUGGUGCGGUGAUGGCGUGGGAAUGUGUGUUGCUACGAGAAAGGGAAUAUGCUGUUGUGAGGAUCGCGGUCUUGCGAAGUAGUGUGGGCUUGGAUGUGUUAGAUUCGACAGGCUGGAGGUGGUUUCAAGUGGGGUUGUGUUGGUUUUGGGAUGCGUGAGGGUGUAGGCCAGGGUGUUUAUUUUGAGGUGAGUUGAGGUGUUAUGGUGGUGGGGUGGUGGUGUAGAUGGUGGUGCAUAGAAAAAAAA